rnacentral:lncRNA from 1 species
GUGAGAUGAUGCAGAUUCAAAUCUUAGUGGCACUUUGUGCCAAGUCUCUGCAAGAGCCUAGAAUUUAUAAUACUAAACUACCAUUACAACUGUAGGAAUAGAAGUACUUGAUAAGGAGGGGUUACUGUCAUGGGAACAUGUUGUUUAUUCAUUUCUUACUAUUCCUCUGUGCAGAAAAUUUCAGUCUUCCAGUAGGAGAGGAGAGAUACAGAUAUGUAAGACAGAUGCAACUUCAAUGUAACACAUUCCCUUCCUUUCAGAGAGGUGGGAAGCACAUGCAUGUGUCGAAGAAGAGAAAGAACAGAGACUACUUGAAAAGGAAAAUGCCCUGAUGCACUAAGAAAAAGCAGACUUUGUUCCUCAGUGCAAGAUGACCCAUCUCAGGAAGGCAGAUUAGGUAAGUAGCUCAAUCAUCAGACCACUGUCUCGUUUGAGUAUCUCAGCAUACAAAAUGUUCUCCUACUUUGGCAUUUGUGCUAGUUUGAUUGGGCUGGAGAGAACUGCAGGGCAGCCCCUUUCUCUGAUGGCACAUUGAGACACUUCAGCCCAAGAAACAGGAGAAUGCCC